CUAGGUAUAGGUUAAUUUGGUAGACCGCCACAUUUGGGAUGUGGAGACUGGGGGUUCGAGUCCCUCUACUUAGA
rnacentral:tRNA from 1 species